UGAAACUGUGAAUGGACAUGUGCAGUAACCCUAGCCUGAGGAAGGUAUGAUUUGCCAAGAGUUCAGACUUCUCAGGAGUGAAGGUUUGGGCCACGUCACCAAGCAAGCCAUCAAGUCCCACUAAGGUGACAGUCAAGGGGGAGGAGAUUUAGAAUGAGUAGUGGAGGAAAGUGUGAGUACCUGUUGCAGCCCCAAGACCAACUGUAGCGACAAAGGCCUUAGUCUGAACCACUGACUUCCCUCUCUCGAGUUUCUCCCCAGGAAGAAAGGCCAUGGAAAUCACGGAGGGCUGCUCCCCAAACAUGCAUGGAGAAGUAGAAGUGACAGCCAUGACAGUGACCUCUGAGAUGUGCCGCAGGGAGUACUCUUGACUGACCCCUCCAGCUGCUGCCACUCACCACUGCUUUGAUACGGACACCAAGCUUCCUGCAGCUGCUCCCAGCAUGGCCCAGCACGGCAAGGACUGUAAACUCCACGAGGGGAGGAACCAUAUCUAAAAUGAACUCACUGUUGUACCUUGGUGCCUGGCACGGUGCCUAGGAUGUAGUAGGCAUCAAGACUUAUUGAAUGGGAGGAUUUUUCUCUGCCUCCCAAAUCAUCUAAUGAUGCUGACACCACUGUCAGCGCGUUCUGUGUCUUGUGGUUGUUGGUGUUUAAAGUGGAGACAAAAAGUGUCACAGAGAGAAGUCAGUGAUUUGAAAAACAAGAACUCAG
rnacentral:lncRNA from 1 species